UAGUUUUCGCUUCCCUCCAUCGACCUAAUAACCUCCAAAACCCGGCCUCUAUCUAUCCUCAUAACUCCUCACUUUUCAUUUACCACACACUACAACCCUCGCUUCAGAUCAAAUCCUCUCAAUCUUCACCUAAUCUUGGUCUUGUUUCUAUCGGUUUACCCAACAAAUAAGCUGAUCUAGGGUUUGUUUGUGUUCAAUUUCACCAACACAUAUACUUUUAUGCUUUUCAAUCAAAGGAUCUCUCACAAGAAAUCAAUGAUAACAUCUGUGAAUCGUUCAAUUAUUUGUUCGGUCUUCCGGUAUCUACACGUACACUUGAGUUAAAGCUUCGAUGUUCUGAAGAAACACAACGAUAACUUCGCGAACAGUACUUGUAUUUGAAAUCCAAAUUGAAUGAGAAAGGUGAAUUCAUCGAGCGUGUUAGGGUUUGUUUUUAAUAUACCAUAUUACAGUUUUCUUCUGGUUUCACUUGCUUGUUUUCUUCGGAGGUGAUCGUACCCUACUGCAAGAUUAUAUAAAUGAAAAAUACCAGGUAUCCCAAUCAGAUCUAUCAAGACAUGUGGCGACCAACACUUCUUCAUAUGAUUAUGCAAUCGUUGAUGUCAGCUUCAGAUUCAAAUCUUUCAAAUAACUUAAGAGUGUUACUACCCAUGUAAUGUAGGUGGGAGUGGCUUAACCGAAGGUUAUCAUCACAAUGUGCUGCGCUAAGAAGCCGAUGGAUGAUGUUUAUAGAGAAGUGUUUGUGUUGGCCCAGCUCUCUGUUAAAUUAAUCCCAGAAUAGAAAAUAAUUGAUAAACAGAGAUUUUGACCAAACAAAAUGGAUAAACACUUUUAUAUAUGUAUAUAUAUUUAGUGAAGCUUUGUAAAUCCUUCUUAUUAUGAUCUUCUAUAAGUAAUUGUUUUUUUUAUGCUUGAUUGACAGUGUCAAAAAGGAUAGAGCAAAUUAUGGAUCACUCUAUGUUCCUUUGUUGCAGAAACUCAGUAAACAACAGGCAAAUGAAAUUUAUAUGGUUCCAGUUGCAAGUAUAAACUGAAGAUGUUGGUUUCGGUUGCAAAUAUGAAGACUUGGGUUCGGAAGGUUAUUGUAUAUCGUUUUCACCUUUAAACAUUUACAUAUUUAUGUUACUUUUAAACUUUUGUAAUUAUUUGUGUUACUUUAAAA